rnacentral:tRNA from 1 species
AGCACUGCGUGGGUAUGAUCCAGUCAGUUUGAUGUACUGAAGAUUGAAUAUUUAUAUUCUGGUGCUU